rnacentral:rRNA from 1 species
GUUGUCCAGACUAGCCAUGCACGUCUAGUACAAACUAAAUGAUGGUGAAACUGCAAAUGGCUCAUUACAACGGUUAUGAUGUACCCGGGAGUUCCGAUGGAUAUUUCCAGUAACACUAGAACUAAUACAUGUCCCUGCGUUUAUUAGUUUCGCACAGUCCGUCGCUGAGUCAUGGUAAACAGUUGAUCGACUCGACGUCCCGGAACAGUUUCCGCCCCAUCAGCUUCGAUGGUUGGGUAUUGGCCUACCAUUGCAACAACGGGUAACGAGGAAUUAGGGUUUGAUUUCGGAGAGGGAGCCUGAGAAACGGCUACCACAUCUACGGAUGGCAGCAGGCGCGCAAAUUACCCAAUGCAGACACUGUGAGGUAGUGACGAGAAAUAAUAAAGCGGGACUUCUGUUUCGCUAUUAUAAUGAGGAAUAACCAAAGGUCAUUCCGAUUAGCAACUGAUGGGAAAGUCUGGUGCCAGCAGCCGCGGUAAUACCAGCGUCAGUAGCAU